rnacentral:tRNA from 2 species
GGAGAGCUGGCUGAGUGGUCGAAAGCGGCGGUCUUGAAAACCGUUGACCCGAAAGGGUCCGGGGGUUCGAAUCCCUCGCUCUCCGCCA